UCCAAAGAGCCUGGUCAUCCCAUGGCCCAGCCUCAGCCAGACAGAGCUGACCCGCUGCUGACAGCUCUGCCUGGGAUCAUCUGUCACUACAAGACUUUCAGCAGAGGAGAUUUUACUGCCUGGCCUGCAACUUGGGGAUUUACAUGCACUUUUUGUUUUUGCUUUUGCACCAUUGUUUUGAUUUUUCAUCAUCAUUGUAAUCUACAUCGCUCUGAUCCCAGAAAAGAGAAGCUGCUGAAGAGAGAAGGACUGUUGAAUAGCUUGGAUUUCACGCCUUUGUGAAAAGACAUUGAAGUGAUGCAUUAAUUGAAGUUGUGCAUGUGUUUCUGUGCGCGCUAAAUUGCUAUGUUGCUGCAGAUGGAAGUGAUGUAACAUCAUGCUGGAUGUUCUCCAGAGAUGACACCUGCCCCUAACGACCAUGGCUGUAGACUGUUACCAUGGUGCCGUUGCUAGAGUAACAAUCUAAAGCCACGGUCGCCAUGGAGACAGCAGAGUGGAGGAGAAACUGGAGUUGGCAUGCACUGAUCCCUUUGGACAGCGACACAGCGGCGCUCUGGCUCGGUGCUGUCCGCGGUGCUGAACGGGACGAACCGCCGAGACCCUGACAGCUGAGAGGCAACGCAGAAGCUUCACUUCUAUACGGCAGAUUACAGUCACAGCUCCUAAAUCUGGAUUUAUGGUGACUUUUACAAUCAGAAUAACAGGCUGUUAGGAGAAACCUCCCAGUGCGCGUCUCUCCUCCACAGAUUAACCAGCCUCUGCUCUCAUUUCUCAAUACGUGACGACGAUCAGGUGACGAGUGCCGUCACGUGUCUCAAACCCGAGGGAGGCUGGAGGGGGGGAGUACGGACAUAUGACGUCACGCCGCGAGCACUACCCAAUCGGCUCGCGCUCCACUCCGCCGCCUGAGUUCAGCCUAUCAGAGCGCGUGGGCAGUGAUUCGGUCUGGCUUCGGUUUCCAUGGCACUGGGGAGAAACCGUGUGGGUGCGAGGGCGCGGAUCCUGCACUGAAAUGUGUCCAAGUUGAGUCUGGACUUCGGAUCUUAAGUCUUGUGUUUGUGUUUUAAAGCGCAACCUUCGACUUAAGUUUCAAACUCGAGAUUUACACGUGAGGCUGUUGGAGAAAUGCGCCACGGGGAUGAGAAAAUGCAGUUCAAGUGGUAUUUAAGUAUCUAGUACACAGCUUUUUUUAUCACAGCUGUUUAAAUAUCCUAUGAUGGUAUCGCAAAGCAGCCGGUUACAGUGUUCUGGGUGGCUUUUCUUUAAGGCACAUAAUUAGUUGUGUGAUCAAAGUCCGCGCUACUGCAUCAACAAAGACUUGUGAAUGAACCGGAGCUCUCAUUGACUCGCUCCACCCACUCCUCCCUCGUGUUGUCUGCGUGCACGAGCCUCUCACAUUGCGCACGCCGCCAAAAGAAAAAAAAAGUGAUCACGCUGCAGUGUGCGCGUGCCUGCCGGCGUGCGUGUGUGAGCGCAAUGCCUUUAAAAGGGUUGUAGUAGCUGACUGCGUAUCAUCUGCAAAGUGCGCAAGAAUGACGCAGGGGUGACUUCACCGACUGACGACGUCACAGAAGUGGGAUUUGGGGAGGGGAGGGGAGGGAAAAGAUAAAGGAAACGCCGACCGGAAGCGCUUGAAGGGGAGAAAGAUGGGAGGAGAAGCGCGGAGGGGGGAGGAGGGGGAGGAGGGAGGGGGCGUGGUGGAGGGAGCGGUGUACCGACACACCGGAAGAAAAGUGAUGGCUGUAAUGUCAUCACUAUCACCGGAAACCUCCCGGUGCCACGCGCUCCAGAGAGUGUCAGAUGGGAGGGUUUGGCGAGGAACACUCCCCCCAUCCCCCCUCCUCCCUCCCCUACCACCCCCCCCCACCCCUCCCCCUACCACCCUUCCGACACGCACACAGUCACACACAGAAAAAAACUGCGCACUGAGGAGUGUGCUCCUCUGUGUGCGUGUGUGUGUGCGCGCGCGCGCACGUACGUGUGCCGUGUACAUUGCACAGUGGCAUUUGCGCAUCUAUAGUUGGGCGCCGGAGGAUACAGCGCAGCCUGAAAGCAGCGGCUCCCUGUUUAACUGGGAACCUGGUGCAACCUGUGUGACAGGUGAGCAUUAAUAACCAUUGGCGCGUGCUGAUUUAUAGACUAUAUUUAAAUAUAAUAACCCCUGAAGGCUUUGACAGUGAGACACUGGAACAGACUGGACCAGACUCUGACAGAAAAGACAUUUUCCUGCAAUUUCUAUUUUCUAGAUGCUCUCUGUUUUUUCAGAUUGCGGGCUGAAUGCUGCCCACAUGGGAGAGAAAAUGAGUCACACUGCAGCAACUUCCAACCGGAGAACAGUGUCAGUUAAAGCAGACUUUUGGGAUUCUUAAAGGGGGGAUGGCCCGUCCAAUACAUCCUCUCCCUUGGUUGCACUUAGUGGCCCAUCAGAAGUAUUUUUUCUUUCGAUAAAGUACCCAAACACAAUAUCUAGUCUGUAGAAAGAAGGAAUUUAACUUACCUCAGUCAAAGUUCCCCCUGUGUGGCCAUGGCUGCGGCACUUAGCUGUAGAAAUAUGUCUGUCCUGUGUCUCAGCUCGGCUGUCUUCGUCACUGUCAGCGCAAAUCUGUGCCACGCUGCCUUUUUUGCGCACAGACGCCGUCGUUCCCUCUUCUUCCAAAGUCGCUCCCCAUACAGACCGGGCUCUCCCAUCAACCGUAGGCUUUUUAUAGAGAUCCCGUAGUAACUAGUAGAGAGGGAACGAGG